UCCUGCAGAGGUGCAGCAGCACGGGAUCCCCUCCAAAAGUAGCAUCUUCUUCUUCCUCUGGUUCUUCUUCUUCUUCCCCGGAUCUGAUGCGUGUGUGUGUUCGCGUGGUUGUGUGCAGACAGUUAAAGGAAGGGGGCGGGCCAUGGAGAAGCUGCAAGGUGUGGGCCUGAAGCCAUGGAUGGAUGUGUUUGGUAUGAGGAUAGAGGACGGCGAGGUGGCACCGAACCGAGCGGCGGGCAAGGACGAAGUGAAGCUGCGCGCACCGUCGUCAUAUCCCUCCUCCGCCUGCUGUUACUGGAAGCAAGCGCAGUACCAUCUCAUUUCAUCCACGACGUGAGGUCUGGUCCGCGUGCCCGCGAGCUGCUUGUGUUUAUGCCCAUAUUGUUUCACUGUUCACCGACACCCCACGGCAGCCUACAGCCUCUACCCACCUACAAUCCUCAUUGUUUGUUUAGUGCUCACUAACCCACAUUGAACGAUUCCAGUCGAUGAAUGAAUGCAUCUGGUCCAGCAAGAGGGGAGGGCAGAGCAGAGCAGGGCAUCCAAUGCGUUUCUUUCCCAUAUACUUUUGCCUGCUUCAAGUACUAGCAUAUGUAUGAUCAUCAUUAGAGGCUAAUCUCCUUUUUGCCGGGUCAGUGGAUGCUAAUCAUAGUUUAAGACUUUGGUCGGUCAAGUCAAGAACAACUAGUACAUAUGUAGUGACAUGUGAUUCAUCGGUCAAGUCAAGCAAGACACAACUACACUCACUCUAAGUGACUCUGCUCUCCCCGUCCGGCGCUUGCAUCCACCACCUGCUGCUCAGCCUCGUCGGCCGGCAACGGAGUUUCGUCCUGCACUAUAUUUCUUGCUCAAUUGUUGUUAGUGCUUAGGUUGUACUAGUAGCAGCAGCACAAGUACAAGAAGGGUUUCAGAUUUCUCACUUGUGCAAAGAAUAAGUUUAGUCAAUCUAAUAUUCAUACUUACACUGUAAAUCCCUAUGUACUUUCAGUGAAUUCCCUUUGUAAUGGUAGUGUUUGCAAUGUACAAUUUCAGUGUAAGAUAGACUAAUAAAAGACUGAAACUACUGUCCAAAUCAUUGUUACUUAACUGAAAAUAUUUAGAAUGAAAAUAUGCACUAUAAUUUAAUGUGCAUUUUUUCCCAGUAAUGUGCAUUCCUUCUCUUUUUGGUUGCCUGAAUUUAAAGUGGUUUUGGACCGUAAUUUUCAGUAAUGUGUCACUUCUAGUUUACUUGAAUAUUUUCGGCUUACAUGAAGGGAUGCAUGCUCUUCAUCUUGCAGGUAUGACUCAUCCUCGCAUUCUUACUUCGCCUUUGUUUCCUUCAGCUUCUUGAUCCUGAAAUUUUAUGAUAAAUUGGUGAUCGACGAGGACUACUGCGGCCCGAUGGGAGUCCUGCUCUUCAACUACUCGGAGGCAGACUUCACCGUGAAGCCCCGCGACCGUGUCAUAGAGAUUAUCGUCCAGGUGAUUGCGACGCAGGAGGUCCCCGGGGUGGAGGACCUCGACGCCACCGUCCGGAGUUCCUCAAGGUGGAGGACCUCGACGCUUUGUACAUACAUCUAGAGAAGUGGUCUGGUUAGGUUGGUGGUGAAAUGCUAGGGAAGGUACCAACCUUUUGAUGAUGGUUGUGUGUGUCCUCGUGAUCUCUUCGAAUUGAGAUGUUGAAUGUUGCAUCCAUGAACACUGCAAGUGUUAAGAUGGUUCUGUGAAAUUUAUUUUGCAUUGGACGUGUC